rnacentral:rRNA from 1 species
GACGGGACCCCGCACAAGCGGUGGAUCAUGUUGUUUAAUUCGAUGAUACGCGAAGAACCUUACCAGGUCUUGACACUCCCCGCGAUGCUUUUAGAGAUAAAGCGGAGGUAUUCGGGGAGACAGGUGGUGCAUGGUUGUCGUCAGCUCGUGUCGUGAGAUGUUGGGUUAAGUCCCGCAACGAGCGCAACCCCUAUUGCUAGUUACCAUCAUUAAGUUGGGGACUCUAGCGAGACUGCCAGUGAUAAACUGGAGGAAGGUGGGGAUGACGUCAAAUCAUCAUGCCCCUUAUGACCUGGGCUACAAACGUGAUACAAUGGCUGGAACAAAGGGAUGCGAAGCAGUGAUGUGGAGCGAAACCCAUAAAAACAGUCUCAGUUCGGAUUGAAGUCUGCAACUCGACUUCAUGAAGUCGGAAUCGCUAGUAAUCGCGGAUCAGAACGCCGCGGUGAAUACGUUCUCGGGGUUU